UACGUAGGGUGCAAGCGUUGUCCGGAAUUAUUGGGCGUAAAGAGUUCGUAGGCGGUUUGUCGCGUCGGCUGUGAAAACCUGGGGCUCAACCCCGGGCCUGCAGCCGAUACGGGCAAACUAGAAUUCGGUAGGGGAGACUGGAAUUCCUGGUGUAGCGGUGAAAUGCGCAGAUAUCAGGAGGAACACCGGUGGCGAAGGCGGGUCUCUGGGCCGAUAUUGACGCUGAGGAGCGAAAGCGUGGGGAGCAAACAGG
rnacentral:rRNA from 1 species